UGACCGACCUCCACGCUUGCAGCUCCCGUUUUCCCGGAACCCGGGCGGCUCCUUUGCUCAGUAUUGCGCCAUGCUGGAUAUUUUCAUCCUCAUGUUUUUUGCCAUCAUAGGCCUGGUGGUUCUGUCCUACAUUAUUUAUCUGCUCUAGUGGCCUGGAGCUGCAGGGGCUGCGAGGGGAAGGAUGGAGCCGAAGCGCCGAGCAUCCUGCUUGCUGACGCACCGGUGGAGUUUUGCUUCUGGGCGUUAUUCGGCUCCGGUGUUCCGGCCAGCCAGAGGGCUCUGCCCAAUAGCAGGACUCCUGAGGUCCUGGCUUCUUCCAGUGUGUCCGGAUCCGGCUUAACCCUUGGCCAGCAGGGGCUCUGUGAGGCAGAGGGGCUCCUGGGGACAUCAGGAGUUCAAGGACGCCACUGGCAGCUGCUGCGUGUGUUUACGCUGUAGACAGAGUGUACUGAAAAUGUGGAAGGUUGAAACGCAGAAUCAGUAAAGUCAGUGGAGAACUGCCCAACAUUCCAUGUGGGCAGCCUUUCCUUAGGUCUAAACGCAGUAACUGCACACAAUGCCAAAAUUUUCUGUCCUUUCUAUUUUUACAAGCAGGCGUUCCCUUGUAAACUCAAGGGCAAAUUCAGCUUGUCUGUUAUCAGCGUCUUUAUAGAUUGUACAGUCUGAGGUUGUGUGGUUUCCCUCGAUCUCCAGCCUUCCCCCAAAAAACCUCCUAUCAUUUGCAGUUUUUAAGAUUUAUCAUUUCCUCCCUCCUGACCCCAUAUGUCCCCAGCUUCUUAUUUGAUGAGAGACAUGGUUGUGAAGUUCUUAUUCUUUGUGGUUCCCUGUAAAGUAUUGAAACAAAAUGUCUAUGCUAGUUCAGGAAACGAAGUUUUACCUCUAAGGAAGGGGUUUUAAAACUUUUUUGAUUGUUAAAUGUUCUUUUGGUUUAAAAACAAAACAAAACUGUUUUCAUAGUUCCUUGUCCAGUUAGGGUUGGAAAAAAAACCCAUGUUUUAGGAAACAGAGUGGAUUUGGCCCCCAUCUGUGGUGUCUGUUAUUCCCUUGGAGACCCCAUCGUAAUUGUUCCACAUUGGUUUUCUUCUCUAGUGUAAGAAUAAACAAGGAAAAAGGAUUAA